GCAUAUCAAUAAGCGGAGGAAAAGAAACCAACAGGGAUUGCCCCAGUAACGGCGAGUGAAGCGGCAACAGCUCAAAUUUGAAAUCUGGCCUCGGCCCGAGUUGUAAUUUGCAGAGGAAGCUUCUGGUGCGGCGCCGUCCGAGUCUCCUGGAACGGAGCGCCAUAGAGGGUGAGAGCCCCGUAUGGACGGACGCCAAACCUGUGUGAAGCUCCUUCGACGAGUCGAGUAGUUUGGGAAUGCUGCUCAAAAUGGGAGGUAAAUUCCUUCUAAAGCUAAAUACCGGCCAGAGACCGAUAGCGCACAAGUAGAGUGAUCGAAAGAUGAAAAGCACUUUGAAAAGAGGGUUAAACAGCACGUGAAAUUGUUGAAAGGGAAGCGCUUGUGCAGACUCGGGCGCGGCGGAUCAUCCGGUGUUCUCACCGGUGCACUCCGCCGCGCCCGGGCCAGCAUCGGCUUCCGCCGGGGGAUAAAGGUCCCGGGAACGUAGCUCCUCCGGGAGUGUUAUAGCCCGGGGCGCAAUGCCCCGGCGGGGGCCGAGGACCGCGCAUUGCAAGGAUG
rnacentral:rRNA from 1 species